rnacentral:rRNA from 1 species
GUUUGAUCCUGGCUCAGAUUGAACGCUGGCGGAUGCUUUACACAUGCAAGUCGAACGGCAGCACGGACUUCGGUCUGGUGGCGAGAGUGGCGAACAGGUGAGUAAUGUAUCGGAACGUGCCUAGUAGCGGGGGAUAACUACGCGAAAGCGUAGCUAAUACCACGCCACGCCCUUCGGGGAAAGCGGGGGACCUUCGGGCCUCGCACUAUUGGAAGCGGCCGAUAUCGGAUUAGCUGGUUGGUCGGUAACGACUCACCAAGGCGACGAUCCGUAGCUGGUUUGAGGACGACCAACCACACUGGGACUGAGACACGGCCCAGACUCCUACGGGAGACAGCAGUGGGGAAUUUUGGACAAUGGGGGAAACCUGAUCCAGCCAUCGCACGUGUGCGAUGAAGGCCUUCGGGUUGUAAAGCACUUUUGGCAGGAAAAAUCGGCGGGAUAAUACCCGUGCAACUGACGGUACCUGCGGAAUAAGCACCGGCUAACUACGUGCCAGCAGCCGCGGUAAUACGUAGGGUGCAAGCGUUAAUCGGAAUUACUGGGCGUAAAGCGUGCGCAGGCGGUUCGGAAGAAAGAUGUGAAAUCCCAGAGCUUAACUUUGGAACUGCAUUUUUAACUACCGGCUAGAGUGUGUCAGAGGGGUGGAAUCCGCGUGUAGCAGUGAAAUGCGUAGAUAUGCGGAGGAACACCGAUGGCGAAGGCAACCUCCUGGGAUAACACUGACGCUCAUGCGAAAGCGUGGGGAGCAAACAGGAUUAGAUACCCUGGUAGUCCCACGCCUAAACGAUGUCAACUGGCUGAUACCAGGGCCUUCGGGCCUUGGUAGCGCAACUAACGCGUGAAGUUGACCGCCCAAGUACGGUCAUAGAUUAAAACUCAAAGGAAUUGACGGGGACCCGCACAAGCGGUGGAUGAUGUGGAUUAAUUCGAUGCAACACGAAAAACCUUACCUACCCAUGACAUGUCUGGAAUCCCGAAGAGAUUUGGGAGUGCUCGCAAGAGAACCGGAACACAGGUGCUGCAUGGCUGUGGUAGAAAGCUCGUGUCGUGAGAUGUUGGGUUAAGUCCGCAACGAGCGCAACCCUUAUCGUGGAUUGCUACGAAAGGGCACUCUAAUGAGACUGCCGGUGACAAACCGGAGGAAGGUGGGGAUGACGUCAAGUCCUCAUGGCCCUUAUGGGUAGGGCUUCACGUCAUACCAAUGGUCAGGACAGAGGGUCGCCAACCCGCGAGGGGGGCCAAUCCCAGAAACCCGAUCGUAGUCCGGAUCAUGAUCUGCAACUCGACUGCGCGUGGUCAGAAUCGCUAGUAAUCGCGGAUCAGCAUGUCGCGGUGAAUACGUUCCCGGGUCUUGUACACACCGCCCGUCACACCAUGAAGUGGGUUUUACCAGAAGUAGUUAGCCUAACCGUAAGGAGGGCGAUUACCACGGUAGGAUUCAUGACUGGGGUGAAGUCGUAACAAGGUAG